rnacentral:rRNA from 1 species
UACGGGGGGCAAGCGUUGUUCGGAAUUACUGGGCGUAAAGGGCUCGUAGGCGGCCAACUAAGUCAGACGUGAAAUCCCUCGGCUUAACCGGGGAACGGCCUCUGAUACUGGCUGGCUGGAGUUCGGGAGAGGGAUGCGGAAUUCCAGGUGUAGCGGUGAAAUGCGUAGAUAUCUGGAGGAACACCGGUGGCGAAGGCGGCAUCCUGGACCGACGACUGACGCUGAGGAGCGAA